rnacentral:rRNA from 1 species
UACGGAGGGGGCUAGCGUUGUUCGGAAUUACUGGGCGUAAAGCGCGCGUAGGCGGGCUGUUAAGUCGGGGGUGAAAUCCCGGGGCUCAACCCCGGAACUGCCUUAGAUACUGGCAGCCUAGAGGAAGGCAGAGGCUAGUGGAAUGGCGAGUGUAGAGGUGAAAUUCGUAGAUAUUCGCCGGAACACCAGUGGCGAAGGCGCCUGGCUGGGCCUUUUCUGACGCUGAGGUGCGAAAGCGUGGGGAGGAAACAGG